rnacentral:rRNA from 1 species
GACGAACGCUGGCGGCGUGCCUAAUACAUGCAAGUAGAACGCUGAAGGAGGAUCUUGCUCUUCUGGAUGAGUUGCGAACGGGUGAGUAACGCGUAGGUAACCUGCCUGGUAGCGGGGGAUAACUAUUGGAAACGAUAGCUAAUACCGCAUAACAGUAGAUGUUGCAUGACAUUUUCUCAAAAGGUGCAAUUGCACCACUACCAGAUGGACCUGCGUUGUCUGGGCUAGUUGGUGGGGUAACGGCACACCAAGGCGACGAUACAUAGCCGACCUGAGAGGGGGGUCGGUCACAGAGGGACUGAGACCCGGCCCAGACUCCUACAGGAGACAGCAGUAGGGAAUCUGCGGCAAUGGACGGAAGUCGGACCGAGCAACGCCGCGUGAGGGAAGAAGGGUGUCGGAUCGUAAGUCUCGGUUGUAAGAGAAGAACGAGUGUGAGAGUGGAAAGUUCACGCUGUGACGGUAGCUGAACAGGAAGCGACGGCUAACUACGUG